CUUCCAAUUCUCCUAUAAAUACUGCUAUUCUUCUACUCUUUAACCUACACUUCUCUCUCUCUCUCUCCCUCUCCACUUCUAUACAUGUAUAUUCGUGUAUAUAUAUGAGAGAGUAGAAACCCUAUUUAGGGUUGCAGCACUUUAUAGCAAUGGCCCUCUUCUUAUUCUUCCACAGCUUUCUUGAACUGCAGAUCUCUAGAUUUGCGUUUGAUCAUUCAACAAUAAUCUCUGUAGUUCAAUAAAGUUGUGGGAAGAUACGAUGAUGGUCAAAUUUAACAACAAAUCCUUCUCUAUUCAUACCUUUCGCUCUUUCUCUCUACCAGAGCAGAUCUGAAAUGAGUUUCUUUACCAUUGCAUUAGAGUGGUGCCUUUGCUUAGGAUAGAGAGAUGUCUCAGUAGGGUUUAAAAAGAUAUGGUUUGAAAAUUUGAUUAUCUACCUUUAUCCAUUUAUUUUUGUAUUAAUCAGAGGCAGCAUUUUGAUCGAUUGAAUAAUGAAUUCUUGUUGUUGGUUUGCUGUCCAUUAAGCUAACUAAUUACUAUUUAAUAUCAUAUAUUCUAUUGUGAUUAGUCCCUUAAUUUGUUGAUCAUCAAUUUCAAGUGUUCGUGAUUAGUUAGCUGGCAUUAUCCGAUGAUUCUUUAUUUUUUACUAGUAAUAAUUUCGUAGGAAGUUCAUAUCUCUUAAGAACAAAAUUUUAUGGGUAGUGAUAUUUUGUCUCAAUAUGUUAUUUUCAAAUUUUCGAAUACUACAUAUGUAGAUGUAGUAUGGUCCAUCACAACCAAAUAAUAUAUAGAUAUAAUUAAAUUUGUGGUGGGUAUAA